AAUGAACGCUGGCGGCAUGCCUAACACAUGCAAGUCGAGCGCAUCGAUGGGGGUCUUGCUCGGAUGACGUUAGCGCCGGAGGGGUCAUUCCCACUUGUAUGCCAUAGCUAUGGGAAUGGGAUAAUAAUGCGGGAUCCGACCUCAAACCGGAUGAUAUAUCGAACGGGGUUGGUCCAUCGUUAUAGACGGUUUUGCUGUCACUAACAGCUGGAUCCGCGCAGGAUCAGCUAGUGGGUGAGGUAACGGCUUACCAAGGCGACGAUGCGUAGCCGCCCUGACAGGGUGAUCAGCCACACUGUAUCUGAGACACGGUCCAGACUCCUACGGGAGGCAGCAGUAGGGAAUCUUACGCAAUGGGCGAAAGGCGGAUCGAGCAACGCCGCGUGAGUGAUGAAGGUCUUCGGAUCGUAAAUCUCUGUAAGUAGGGAGGAAGAAAAGUUCAUUAAACUGUGAACGUAUUGACGGUACCAAAAGAAAAAGCCCCGGCUAACUACGUG
rnacentral:rRNA from 1 species